rnacentral:sRNA from 1 species
UCCUAGCCCCGAUAGAAACGGCAUCCUUUUUUGUUUGCGGAAGCUUUGGUAUGGAAAAACAAAAAAGAUACAGUGGAUAGCGGGAAAUAGC